ACAGGGAUUGCCUCAGUAACGGCGAGUGAAGCGGCAACAGCUCAAAUUUGAAAUCUGGCCCCCCGGGUCCGAGUUGUAAUUUGCAGAGGAUGCUUUUGGCGCGGUGCCUUCCGAGUUCCCUGGAACGGGACGCCAUAGAGGGUGAGAGCCCCGUACGGUUGGACACCAAGCCUAUGUAAAGCUCCUUCGACGAGUCGAGUAGUUUGGGAAUGCUGCUCAAAAUGGGAGGUAUAUUUCUUCUAAAGCUAAAUACCGGCCAGAGACCGAUAGCGCACAAGUAGAGUGAUCGAAAGAUGAAAAGCACUUUGAAAAGAGGGUUAAACAGCACGUGAAAUUGUUAAAAGGGAAGCGCUUGUGACCAGACUUGCGUCCGGUGAAUCACCCAGCUCUCGCGGCUGGGGCACUUUGCCGGCUCAGGCCAGCAUCAGCUCGCCGUCGGGGACAAAAGCUUCGGGAACGUAGCUCUCUUCGGGGAGUGUUAUAGCCCGUUGCACAAUACCCUUCGGCGGGCUGAGGUACGCGCUCCGCAAGGAUGCUGGCGUAAUGGUCAUCAGCGACCCGUCUUGAAACACGGACCAAGGAGUCAACCUUAUGUGCGAGUGUUCGGGUGUCAAACCCCUACGCGUAAUGAAAGUGAACGCAGGUGAGAGCUUCGGCGCAUCAUCGACCGAUCCUGAUGUUCUCGGAUGGAUUUGAGUAAGAGCAUAUAGGGUUGGACCCGAAAGAAGGUGAACUAUGCGUGUAUAGGGUGAAGCCAGAGGAAACUCUGGUGGAGGCUCGCAGCGGUUCUGACGUGCAAAUCGAUCGUCAAAUAUGCGCAUGGGGGCGAAAGACUAAUCGAA
rnacentral:rRNA from 1 species